AACAGGGGCUGAACAGGGGAUUGAGUCUCCACGUUUUGGGUUGAAUAAAAAUUGCCAGGUGGAGGUUGUCAGGGGGAAGGUGUUAAAUGGAAACACUAUAUAUAAACUGCAUGCUUUUUGCAAGGGACUGUGGCUUUCCUGCCCAGCCUGCCACCGCUGAACUGUAUAUAAGGUGGUUCUUCUCUUCAGCCCACUGUCAGUGGGCUCCCUCCCCCGUAUGUAAGCCCCCAGCAAACUCCAUUUCUUGUUUGCUGGCUCAGAGCCUCUUCUUUGGCCUCUUAAAAUAGGGGUUCGGCAUGACACCAUUGUGUGCAUAGAGGAGGCACGCGGAGGAGAGCGAACAGACUCCCAAAGUAAAACUUCAUCUACUCCUGAAUUUUGCCUGGACCCCACUCGGGUGGCCACAGGCGUGGAUUCGCAGUUGCGCUAUCUGCAUUGGAGCCCAUCUGCUGCUUUUCCUUGGACAAUGGCUGCCCGUUUAGGGUUGUGACCCAGGAGUCGCUGUGGUUAUCAACUGCGAGAGCUCAAACGGACACAUGAGAAGCAGCUUUGUUUAGCGUCCUUGACAUAACUAACCACAUAUUAACAACAGAGCCUUGUGGUAUAGAGGCUCCUGUUUGUUCAGAAUCUUAAUAGGUGGGCUUUGUGCACAUGGAUUUCUAAUACUGCUUACCCUGUAUUUUAAGUCAAAGAGGGUCUUUGUGUGAAGGAUUCUCCACCUCCUUUUCCCUUUCUACGAAGGAGGCACAAAGCUGAUCAUUCAGUGGAGUCCAUUCUCACCAUGAGAAGAACAUUCUACUGUCAGCAGGCAGAGUGAGGAUGGAGACAUCACUGAUUCACUUGGCUAGUUCCAUGUGGGCAUUCCAUGUCCAUGGAUGAAUGGAUAAGUAACUGAUCCACAAGAGGAGGCAGGACCUAUUCUAUCAAGGAUCGGUAAUUGGGAAUAAGCUUCUCAUUUCAUCCUAAAGGAUUCUGUCACUCCACUGAAAUCUUAAGAGUCUCCAGUGCUUGUUAGGAAAGUGUGGAAGAUGAACCCCUUCUUCAUCCACAGAUGCUGAGAAUGCUAAUUAGAAGACAGGUAUCAGGAAGCCCACACAGAGACGGUUUUGGGAUUUUGUCAGCACUGGGCAAGUGGCUUAAGAUCUGCCCUGCCGGUGUUUGACACCCGAGUCUGAAGCUGGCACCUCAUCCAUUCCCUAGUCCUGCCUUUUUGCUCCCCGGGCUCCCUUUCCAGUGCCACCAUCGCCCUCUUUGCACUUCCCUCGCACUCCAUCUCAGAAGCAGACUUCAAGGAGAUCAAAAGAGGCUGCUCCUCAAGGAAGAGCAGGGGUCCUGCGGCUAGAAAGCGGGGGGCAGUCUCUGUCCACACUCAAAAAUCAAAGAAUUAGCCCGACUUAAUCAAACAAAAUAUUACUAUGUUUUCCGAACAACUUAUUCAGCUCAGAGUCAAGCAACUCCACCCCCACCUUCAGCACCAGCCCCCUGGACCACCCAGCAGCCAACAUUGAGGCGAGACCCUCCACCAGCAAAAAGAUUACAACUCACUGGAGACUCCGAUGAUGGUUAGCAUUUUUAGCAAUAAAGUAUUUUUAAUUAAGGCAUGUACUUUUUUUUAGACAUAAUGCUAUUUCACACUUAAUAGGAUACAGUAUAGUGGAAAUAUAACUCAUAUAUACUGGGAAAC
rnacentral:lncRNA from 10 species